CCGCCACUGAGCAACGUGUUUUCCGUGAAAUAAAACUAAAAGGCUCCUGGUCUCUGUUUACCAGGUAGAUAAAGAAAUCAUAGUCAUCAAAAGUAGCAAAGUGUUCAUUAAACUUGAUACAAAGUAUAUAUUUAGGUGUCUGAAUGUUUCCUGAUGGAAGCAUUUUCAAGGGCAUUUGCCUCAGCUAUGGGAACCAAACAUUUACAUGAAGGAAGGUUUAGAGGUGAACGUCCACUGCGGAGGUCGGAGAAGCACUCAGGUCAGCGGGCAGAGCGGCUAGUCGGUGGGCCGAGCUCUCUGCUACCCCCGCAGGAGUGUCCCGACGCCAUCCCAGAAGCAGCACCUGUGGGCCACGGCGUUUGCUUAGAGCCUGGACUGAGGCUGCCUGGACGGGGCCCCUCACCCGGCCAGAGUUAGGGGUGCCGCUGCCACCCCCAUGGACCCGCUUCGGGCUGCUCAGUCCUUGUUCAUUUGCAUCCAUCUUGGUUUUUAGGAAGGCAAGUUUCUCAGGAGCUCAGAAAAUUAAUUUCGUAGUGAUUAGGCUAUCCCCAGAGUAACACGUUCCAACUGUCACCAGCACGGACUUCUCAUGAAGCCUGGGACCAUUUGCAAGGACUCCCGGGUGUGUGUGUGUGUGUGUGUGUGUGUGUGUGUGUGUGUGUGUUUUCCUGUGUCCUCUGAGUAGACACCGCUAUGAAUGUAGACUUGAGGUUUCUUGGCAAACAUGUGUCCUCACUUAUGUGGCUGAGGAUUCUUCCCCGACUCAGGAUGCAAGUGCCAGGGGACCCGAGUCUCCGGGGAAAGCUGGGUGCAUGCACGGUUCUUUGAUCCGUCAUUUGAAUAAUUAGCUCUUAAUUAGCUGUCUGAGUAUGAUCAUCAGCUUGAAUGUAAGUUUCUUUAGAGGACACUGUGCUUUCCCAUCCUGGUAAGUGGCGAUGAUGGGUUUCUGGGUAUGAGGUUAAUUUGAGGAGGAAUUCUCACCUCCUAGAGCCUGGCAGACAGCAGUCAUGUGGCGCGUUAGCCAAUUACCGGGAAAGCUUCCUGUGCCCGGACGGAAUCUGCUUCCAGGAGCUGGGGGAGAGGAGGCUGCACAUUGCUCCUGGUCACUGCCGGCGCCUUCUGUAUCCUCUGACCCACCCUCCUACGGGAGGGAACGUCUCCGCUGGGGAAGACGACCGUGUGGGCUCAUCUCCAGCCACUGUGGUGACUAUUGUCGUCCCCUUCACUCCGGAUGCUCUUUCCCCCAUGGCCAGAUGCCAGCAGGGUUUGUCCCCAGGACCCUGCAGGAGAUCCCCUCUUCAUCAUCCUGGGAGUGUGACGUGGUCUGCUAAGCAAAGCUCCUUCCCUGCAGCAGGUGAGUCCUAGCUCAGAGGACACGGACGGUGAUUUUCCAACUGUCGUGCUCAGAACAAACUUUCACAUCCAAGAAAUGUUGCAGACAUCCUAGAAAGGAUGAAUCAAACCCACAGGCCCUCAGGCCCCCAUGCAACACUGUGCUGCCUUGGCACAGAAAUAUUUACAGCAGAGUUCCCGUGUGAGCCUGCAGACACAGCAACCAUUUUUUAUAACAGUUCUCCAAAGUCUCUCCUCUUGAAAACAGAGCAAGUUGCACCCUGGUCUCCGUAUCACAUCGGCCUGCAGUUUCACACGAUCUGCUUGGUUCGGAGUGCUGUCUUUCAGACCUGGCUGUGGCCACAUGCUCCUCACAGCUUGCACAUCCCUCAGUCUCGGCACCACGCCACACGGGAGGGGUUCCACCACGUCUCUGAGCUUAGGGUGGCCGGUGGUGCCCAGGGGAGGGGGAAGCCCGUGGCAGGCGUGGGAUGGAUUUGCUGAGUGACUCUAACCACUCCUUAUGGAAUGAGCACCACCUCGCCAGGGGCCUUGUCCUUGCCAUCCUGGGGCCACACGUGUGGCUGCAAGGUCCCUCUGGCAAACCUCCUUUCCCUCUGGGGCUGGUUGAGGACUCCAGGGGGCCAGCCUGGAGACCAAGGCCGUGCUGUGUGGUCAGCAGACCAGUGAGGAGUCAGCAGACCAGUGAGGGGUCAGCGUUCUGCUGUGGCUGCCUGGACUCCUCUUCCUCUCAAGACAGCAGUGUCUGGGGACUGCCAAAACCUCUGCAGGGACCAGCAGCACAGGAUCACAGAAUUCCACACUUCCUGCUAAAUCGGGGUCUCCUUUUCAUCCGUCACAUCUCCCUUCCCGACUGCACCAUCAACAUCAGUUCCUCAUCUCCACAGCCACCAAGGGCAGCUCAGCUCAAGCUCUAGGACUGGCCACCCCUCUUCCUGGACUGUGAUGAUGGAGAGAGGCCCCAGUCCCAGGCAGCCACGAGGACGGCGCCUGUCCAGACACACAAAGCAAGGGCCCCGCAGGAGAAGCAAGCCUCCCUCACUCCAGAUGCCUCGCCAUGAAGCCGUACACCCACCCAGCCGACCUGCACGCGAGAGCUGCUCAUUCGUUUUUCGGCUCGGCAGCUGCACGACCUUGUGGGUUCCUGAGCUGCUGGCUGGGAAGCUGAGGUUGGACUCAGACAGGCAGGAGGCACGCAGGCCCCGGAGUGAGGCGCCACCGUGGCUCAGGGCAGAGAAUGCUGAUCUGAGGAGGGAACAUCUAAACUAAGGCUUGGAGGAGACACAUGGCUCCAGCUCCACACCCGAGCACCUGCUGUUUACGGUUUGUGCUGACCGGAUGCUGUUUCUCCUUCCAUCUCCACCUGCAAAUGUUCUGCUGACCCUCAGGCCGGUUUGAAGACCAGCACAGCCCAUGUGAGCAGGGCACAGGGCCCCAUCCUGAGUGGCUGGCCUGUCCGGGGGAGGAAGUUCCACCCCACACCCACCCCACCACCACAGGAUGUGCCCAGAAGGCGGAGGGACUGGCCACUGUGGGGGCUCCCAUGUCCAGGCCGGGCCUCCUCAGCAUAAAAUCAGCUGACAGCAGCCUCAACGCGCCACUGCCUGAGAGGACACCGCCUCUCCAAACCUGGGAAGAAGGCAGCCACGCCCUGGGGAGGGAACAGGUGGAGGUGGGUGCCAGGACUAGCCAGGACUUCCUCCCAAAUAUUUAGAAACUUGAUUGCAAUGAAAAGAUAGCAUCACUGAAUUAAAGACGUCAUUUAUUAUGGAGCUGAGAUUUGGUUUGCCCAGCAGCUUAAAACAAUGUCACUCACAGCCUUGUGGCACCUUGGGACGGGCAGGUGCCUACACAAUUAUUUACUUAAGAACAUACCUUCCUUUAAAAUAACCAAUGUUGUACUUAGAUAAAUGUAUUUAC
rnacentral:lncRNA from 1 species